GGUUGAAAUCCCCCACUAUUAUUGUGUUGCUAUCUAUCCUUGCUUUAGGUCUAGCAAUGUUUGUUUUAUGAGUAUGAGUGUUCCAGUGUUGGCAAAUGGAGCUUCCUGAGGGGUGAACUACAGUGGCUGCUGUUUCUCUUCUGAAUCUAGACACCCUGCAGAGCUACUGGACUCCUGGCUGGUAUUGGGGAGUGUCUUCUAAGAGUCCUGUGAUGUGAUUUGUCUUCAGGUCUCUUCUGAGCCAUGGAUACCAGCACCUGCUCUGGUGGAGACAGCAGGGGAGUGAAGUGGACUCUGCGAAGGUUCUUGGAUGUAUUUUUGUUAACUGCGCUGGUUUUGUGUUGGUUGACCUCCAGCCAGGAGGUGGCGAUUUCAAGAGCACAUCAGUUGCAGUAGUAUAGGGAGGGUCAGGCAGUGGGCAAGGCCAUAGAGCUCCCAAGAGAUUAUGUUGUUUAUCUUCAGCUACCAGGGCAGGUAGAGAAAACCAUCAGGUGGGGGCGGGGUUAGGCUUAUCUGAGCUCAGACUCUCCUUGAGGAGGGCUUGUUGAGGCUGCUGUGGGAGAAAAGGGUGUAGUUCCCAGGCCAGUGGAGCUAUGUCCCCAGGGGUAUUAGGGCUGCCUCUGCUGUGUCACACGGGUAACCAGGGAAGGGAGAUAAAGCUGGCAGCCGUAGGCCUUAUCCAGCUCCCAUGCAGCCCAUAGCCCAAAAGAUUGGUCUCACUCCCACUGUGCCCCCCUCAACAGCAGCAAGUUCACUUCCAGGCAGCCGUUGAGCAGCGCUGAAAAAUUGUUCCCAGCUACAUGCCUCCCAGCUGAGAAAACAAGCCGACUCACCGUUCCUCUGUUGUCCCACAGAGCCUGCAGUGGCAAUCCACCACCUUCAAAGGGUUUGUGUGGUCACAGCUUUCUGGUAUGUUCCUGUGGUUGUUGGUGCAAAAGUUCACGAUGUGGGUGCCUACACACUGUCGUCUGAGUCAGAGCUGAAAGUUAGUCCUGCCUCCUGUCCGCCAUUUUCCUGCACUGUCCCAUAUUAACUUUUAUGGAAGCAGUCUUCCUAUAGUCCUUUUUAGCCAAUUCAGGUAAAAC
rnacentral:lncRNA from 1 species